CCCUAGUUGGCUCAGUCAGUAGAGCAUGUGACUUUUGAUCUCAGGAGUCACGAGUUCAAGCCCCAUAUUGGGCA
rnacentral:tRNA from 1 species